UACGAAGGGGGCUAGCGUUGCUCGGAAUCACUGGGCGUAAAGGGCGCGUAGGCGGCCAUUCAAGUCAGGGGUGAAAGCCUGUGGCUCAACCACAGAAUUGCCUUUGAUACUGUUUGGCUAGAGACCGGAAGAGGUAAGUGGAACUGCGAGUGUAGAGGUGAAAUUCGUAGAUAUUCGCAAGAACACCAGUGGCGAAGGCGGCUUACUGGUCCGGUUCUGACGCUGAGGCGCGAAAGCGUGGGGAGCAAACAUG
rnacentral:rRNA from 1 species